rnacentral:lncRNA from 1 species
ACAGAGCAGAAAGGUGGUUACGAGAGGCUGAGAUUUGUGGGAGGAGGAGGGAUGGGGAAAAGGAGGAUAUGGAUCAUAGUGUAGAAAGUUUCAGUUAGACUGGAAUUCAAAGUUGCUAAGAUAGAUUUUUAACAUUCUCACCACACACAAAAAAGCGAUAAAUUGGUGAGGUGAUGGAUUAGCUUGACUGACUCUUUCCAUAAUGUACACAUAGAUCAAAACAUCACAUUGAAAAUAAAUAAAUAGGCUAGGCAUGGUGGCUCAUGCCUGUAAUCCCAGCACUUUGGGAAGCCAAGGCAGGCAGACUGCUUAAGCUCAGGAGUUUGAGACCAGCCUGUACAAUGUGGCAAAACCCCAUGUCUACCAAAAAAUAAGAAAAUUAGCUGGGCGUGGAGGUGCACACCUGUGGUCCCAGCUACUCUGCAGGCUGAGAAAGGAGGAUUGCUUGAGUCCAGGAGGCAGAGGUUGCAGUGAGCCCAGAUGUGCCACUGCACUCCAGCCUGUGUGACAGAAUGAGACUCCGUCUCAAAAAAAAAAAUGAAUAAAUGAAUAAAUAACAUUACAUUGUCCUCUACAUAUAUGCACACAAUUAUUUGUCAAUUAAAAUUUUUUAAAAACAUUUUUUAAAACAGCACCACCUACUUCCAAAUGAGUGGUCCCUACAGGGGCAAUACCGCCCUGGUGGAAAACUUCUGGCCUAAAUGACCUCUACCAUCCCUUCCAGAGCUGGCUUUCCACUAUCCUAAACUCUGAAGGUUGAUCAUUGAUUGAAAGCUUUGGUGCCAGAGACUGAUCCACUGCUUCUCAAGCCGUCUCACCUUCUUCCUGGUCGUCUAUUGCAUCACUGAGUUGUGGCCAAAGUAUAUGAAGAGAAGUGACAGAUGCCAUGCCCAUGUCUGGACUGCUAAACCCUUGCAUCUGAUCUUCCACUUCCUUUCUCUCUUUCCUCAUCUGCCAGCAGGUGUUGAAGAUGGCACAGUCCCCAUCAAUCCAGGACCCAACCUCAUUCCACUAGUGACUAGACUGCCAGUCAGCAAGAAAUAAGCAUCUGGCACUUUAAGCCACUGGGAUUUCAGGGCUGGGAAGAAAAAUCCAUCAGAGUAAGAGAUGGCAGUGGUUGGAAAAAGUAAAGACAUUCUCUACUUGUACCCUCUGUGGAGUUCAGACUUUCCAUAAAUCAGGCACUGUGUCAAUGAGGAUACCCAGGAGAUGAAUGGAAUCUACUGUCUUUCCCACGCUUGUCAAGGCAUCUCAUCUGAGCAGUUACCAACAUCAGCACAGUGGGGCUGGUCUGCCCCAUCUCCAUCUGACCCGCCCAGCUUGCCCAGUGAUGCAUCACACCGCAAUAGUGGGACAUUUUUUUUCUAACAAUGGUUCUACUCCCCUGGUGUAAAAGCAAAUAAACGGGAAUGGGGUAUAACUUGAUACUAAAUUCUGUGAAAAUAAUCCAUUUGCACUGCACAUAGUUAAUGUGUGGUGCUAACUUGCUACUCUUCAUCCAAGCAGACAGAAGCAGUUGUGCCCUCAUAUAUAGAGGUGCCAGGCAGUCGGGGACAUGAUGAGGAAGUGUUUCUGAAAUCUCUUGUCAAAAGCAUUCAACAGGAAUGCUAAGAAUAAUGGCAAUGAAACACCACCACACCAAGUAAACAAUCGCAUUAACUUCAUUUUGCAGAUGAGGAAAUUGAAGCUCAGUGUGAUUAAAUGACUUACACAAGGGCACGGCUGCUAAGACAUGAAAGAGCUUGGAACUGGACCCAAGUUCUUCCUUCUCUCACAGAAAGAUAUGCUUGCUGAAAGCUCUGCAGAUUUGAAGAUU